UCAGGCCCUUAUCGAAGCCAUGUCUGCUUACUUUCAUAGCCGAUGUGGUCAAAAAGGAGCCAAGAAUAAACUUUUUCUUUGACGGUCGCUGCUUGGGUUAAGUGCAGUACCUGAGCAGCAACAUUGGCAAGAAAAGACAGAU